rnacentral:rRNA from 1 species
GAUGAACGCUGACAGAAUGCUUAACACAUGCAAGUCAACUUGAACUUCGGUUUGGGUGGCGGACGGGUGAGUAACGCGUAAAGAACUUGCCUCACAGUUAGGGACAACAUUUGGAAACGAAUGCUAAUACCUGAUAUUAUGAUUUUAGGGCAUCCUAGAAUUAUGAAAGCUAUAUGCGCUGUGAGAGAGCUUUGCGUCCCAUUAGCUAGUUGGAGAGGUAACGGCUCACCAAGGCGAUGAUGGGUAGCCGGCCUGAGAGGGUGAACGGCCACAAGGGGACGGAGACACGGCCCUUACUCCUACGGGAGGCAGCAGUGGGGAAUAUUGGACAAUGGACCAAGAGUCUGAUCCAGCAAUUCUGUGUGCACGACGAAGUUUUUCGGAAUGUAAAGUGCUUUCAGUUGGGAAGAAAAAAAUGACGGUACCAACAGAAGAAGUGACGGCUAAAUACGUG